rnacentral:rRNA from 1 species
GGGGAAUUUUGGACAAUGGGCGCAAGCCUGAUCCAGCAAUGCCGCGUGCAGGAUGAAGGCCUUCGGGUUGUAAACUGCUUUUGUACGGAACGAAAAGCCUCUCUCUAAUACAGGGGGGUGAUGACGGUACCGUAAGAAUAAGCACCGGCUAACUACGUGCCAGCAGCCGCGGUAAUACGUAGGGUGCAAGCGUUAAUCGGAAUUACUGGGCGUAAAGCGUGCGCAGGCGGUUUUGUAAGACAGUGGUGAAAUCCCCGGGCUCAACCUGGGAACUGCCAUUGUGACUGCAAGGCUGGAGUGCGGCAGAGGGGGAUGGAAUUCCGCGUGUAGCAGUGAAAUGCGUAGAUAUGCGGAGGAACACCGAUGGCGAAGGCGGCCAACUGGCUCGAUACUGACGCUGAGGUGCGAAAGCGUGGGGAGCAAACA